rnacentral:rRNA from 1 species
UACGGAGGGGGCUAGCGUUGUUCGGAAUUACUGGGCGUAAAGCGCACGUAGGCGGACUGGAAAGUCAGGGGUGAAAUCCCGGGGCUCAACCCCGGAACUGCCCUUGAAACUCCCGGUCUUGAGGUCGAGAGAGGUGAGUGGAAUUCCGAGUGUAGAGGUGAAAUUCGUAGAUAUUCGGAGGAACACCAGUGGCGAAGGCGGCUCACUGGCUCGAUACUGACGCUGAGGUGAGAAAGCGUGGGGAGCAAACAGG